CCGUUCUAGCGUAGCGUCUGUUCUGUCUCAGCGGGAGCCUGAAAAUUGGGCUCAGAAAUCCAACAUGGAACAUUCUGACAGCUGUCAGGAAGGAGGUUGGUAACAAGAAACGCUGGGCAAAUGAGAAAUCAUUGAAAUGUUAUCGAAUUCACCGGGGAAUGAAUGCUGCCCCGAACUUGGAACCAAGAAAUGGAUACCUGCUUGUGUGGAACUGCAGUGCCUGUGUGAAAAGCUCCAUUGGUGGCUAAGGCGGUGCAAUGGGCCCAGGGUAAUUUGCAGCAAUUAGCUGCUCCGUGAAUUCAGCGUAAUAGUGGCUGAGACACAAUUCUGACAACCUGUCUCAAACCUGCCUUCAGAAAGCACCUCGGACUCAUUCUUCUGUGCACAGGACCCCAACCUACAGAGAAAGAAGGAAGUAUCUGUUGUCACCAUGGGCUGAGCAGAGUUGGAUCAUGAACUUCCACUGUCCUGGGCAGCCAUCACUUCAUCCCUGUGCCAGGCUGCUCCUUAUGGCCGCUGAGGUACCACGGACUUUUUGCCUCUCCCAUGCUGAAAAUUUUCCUCAACAGAGAAUUGGCCAGAAGAAGUGAAGGGCGUGGCAGCCAAGGCUGACACCUUUGGGAUCUCAUGGGAUCCCAUGCACUGAUCCUAAAGUUGUUACAUUUCACAUUCGAUGGUUCUCUGGCCUCACUAAACCAAUGUACAACCAGAGGCAUGUCAGGAGACCUGGCUGGAUUCAUCAUUUGGCGGCUCUUUAAGUCACUUUGUUUGGCAUUGACUCAAAGGAGGAACUGAGGGAUGUGAAGGAGCCUAGGUCACCGGUAGCUGUCCCCCUACGCAGUCCCAAGCUCUCCUGCCCCACUCGGUAAGACAAAAAUCCUGUGAUAUCAGGACACACCCUGCUUAGCACACAGACUUUCAACCACCGAACUUUGCGUGACUGUAGGGUCUCAUAACACCACCUACCUCUACACAGGCAGAUGGUCCCAGUAUUCCAGAACAGUACUCCCCACUGGCAUCCCAGAAAACCCUCUUUUCUCCAUCUCAUCUCCCACUUGGCUGGACCAUCCUUAACCUGCCCAGCUCAGAGGAAUGAAGAAAAAUUUAACGAUCAGCAAGCAGAUGGUUAAACUUUGGAGCCAAAGUUAACCAUUUCGGAGCCGAUGUGCACCAGGGUUUGAUGCCGUCAAGAAGAGAACAAAAUGAUAACCUGUGUGUGACGAAGGUGCCAAAUGGGCAGAGGAGAGAGAAAGAGUUCGCCUGCAAAAGCAAGAUGAAGCCCAGAACUGUUUCCCAACUCUCUUUAGCCGGGGAACCCUUUAUUCAAAGGAAAUCUCACUCCACACUGAGAGAGAAAGCAGCUGAGUUGAGAAGAGGUAGGGACCCAGCCGAUCCUCCCCCUGCCUACGGCAGCCCCUGUGGCCCCUCCCUACGAAUUCUUAGGACUUAACGUGGCUGAAAAACCGCUGACCUAGACCGUCUACGAGAGUAACAGUGAAGAAUGCAGUUUGCUCCGAGACAGCCUGAUGCUGCCUCGGCUUUGUUCCAAUGUUAAAAAGGGAGCAGGCCACUGGGGGACAGACAAAAUCAAACCGCGAACACAUACCUUUGGGGGGUUUUCAUCAGACAGUGAAAUGGGAUGCUUUGUGUCCUUCAACUGUUGUCUCUUAUUAUUUUUUAUCUUUUCGAAGACAUGUAUAGGACAGUCAGCCUUUCCUUAAUAUUGGUGUGUAAUUCUAAGCUCAGGUUCAUUGUUUUUUUUCCCAAUCUCCUUCUUAGUAGCUUUGUUUUAACUACAACACGCCUUUUCCUAUCCCUCCCUCAAAUUCUGGCCAAUCCAGAGCUUACCACAGUUCUCGUGUGUUAACCUGCUGCCAUCCUUACACUUCCUGUUCCCACUGGAUUAUUAAAGCUCCCUUGGGGAGGAAAAGGCUUCUAUUCCAGUGUGCAUUCCAGGCACCCGACGCAGGACAUGUUGAUCACCGAUAAAUAUUCACUGAAUAAUGGCAGUCACAGCAACAGAAUGGCCACAAGGCCGCUACGACGGUGACAACACAAGGCAAAGGGGGGUCGGGACAGGUACAGGAGACGAGGCUUUGGAGCCGAUUGGAACGCAAGUCAUACAAACUCUUUACACCUUCAUUCUCUCAUUUACAGGCUCGGAGUAAUAGUAUGGUGGCCUCACCUCUUUCUCAGGCCUGUGGUUGGAAUUACCUUAAAACUCUUACGCGGUCCAUGAAGCGAACUAAGCACACCAGGUUUGGCAUUUUCCCUCGCUGACCCUCAGCAACUCCAGAACAGACCUUCCAAGUUCGGACGAACGGAUGAAGUAAGUGGAAGAGCACAGAAUUGAAUCCACGGGAAAGGCGCCUCUGGGCCAACUCCAGUUUAUGCACCUCCUCGGGGUGUUGGGGUUAACGUGGGGGAACAUCCUCGCCUAACAUCUGACGUGCUGCAGCCAUGGGUGUCCUAUACGCAGCCCGUGCUGACCCAGAGCAGAGCCCAGUGAGACUCUGUCCGAGGUUCCUCUUCACCUCUCCACCCUCCCCUCUCCCAGACAACGUACAGAACUUCUCAAGCACCUGAGAAAACACGUUUUGGAACAUAAAUCCCGUCUUCCUAUGAUUUUCUGAUGUUGCAUUGGAAGAGUCUCUGCAGAACAGCCCCACAGCAUCCCUCUCCUCCGGGACUACUGUCCGGACCUGGUCCAGCUCCCUCUCCAACUUCGGGACUUGGAUCCACUGUGAAGUGUGCACGCAUCCACUUCACUCAUUCCCCAACACAGUCACAGGGCUUCGUCAUGCCAGGCUGCGUUAGCUCCAAACACCAGCAACACACCAGAGAGAGACGGACAAAGUCCAUCAUUCUAGAGCAACAGCACUGGUGAUGUGUCCAUAGUGCGGAUCUGGAAGUUUUGCUCCAUAGUGGGCUCACGUACGUGAUGAAGAUGGUCGUGCUAUCAGAAUACUUAGUUGGGAGAAGAGACUAAAAUUGCUUUCCUGGAACUUGAACUCCUCUGUGACUUUCAAGGAGUUCUUCAGGGAGGUGACCAACAAAGAUGGUGAGAAAGAUGGCGUCCUUGUGGGACUAUGUCAUGAGAAUCUAGAAGUAGCCACAUACAGGCCUGUGCUUCUUCUAAAGUUACUAGAAUAGAUUAACAUCUCAGAUUCAGGGUGGCUUGCCUAUGUUGCUCAAGACCUAAGUCUUAUUCACUCCCUGCUUCUUUCUUCUAAUUGUCCUGCACAAUUAGGAUGGAGUUUCUGACCUUAAUUAUGUCACAGCAGAGUACUGCACAGAUUGGUUUCCCCAAAGACUCUCCCCCUUGGGCUCCCACAGUUUUACAGUCCUUCUUUUCCCCACAUCUUGGAGACUGUGGCUGCCGCUCCUACCCCCCACGACGAGAGAAAAAAAACCUCUGUGCGUGUGCAUGUGUGUGCAUACACCCAUGAACAGUCAACCUCUCCUUUCUGUACAGUCUACUCGUGCACUAAACUCGGGCAGCAAAACAUGCAAUGGAGGCCCCGGCUGGUGUAGCUCAGUAGACUGAGCACGGGCCUGCGAACCAAAGGAUGGCCGUUCAAUUCCCAGUCAGAGCACAUGCCUGGGUUGCAGGCCAUUUCCCAAUAGGGGACGCAUGAAAGGCAACCACGCAUUGAUGUUUCUCUCCCUCUCUCCUUCCCUUCCCCUCUAAAGAUAAAUAAAUAAAAAAAAACCAUACAAUGGUUGUGCAAGAAUAGGACAACCAUUGUCAUUGGGGACCUCUCGGGUAAAGCUGAGUGUGCUCUUCCACCUGCUGGUUCCCCAAGAGAAGGAUGCGAAUUCUUGUGUGUUUUUGGUUUCCCUUCACGAUUGGAGAGGUAAACGGCUUGAUGGGAAUGCACGUUGCUGCUAUUGUUUUAUUUAAUUUUUUCAGAAUAACAAACUCUCAGUGAAAAAUUUUGUUUGUUAAAUUUGGAAAACGUUGGAAUGAGAACCCAAGUCUCCAAACUGAAUCAAGACCCUCAAGUCUGUUGCUUCUGUAAAUCAAGCUGUGAUCUUGUGUGUUCGAUGCCCGUGCAUGGGGUCGGAGGGGUAAGAAUUCAACGACAGGGAAGAGACCAGAAAGAAUGCGGAGUCGUGGCUUCCUCUCUGUAAUGAAGCCAUGUGUUUCCCGAAUUAAUAGAGAUAUUAUUUAGUGAAUGUGUGAAAAAGACCAAGGCCACUUUGUGAAGUCUUUUUUGGUAACUUUUUAUAAUUUUCCCUGUGUUUUUAUGGUCUCAUCUAAGUUCUUGCUAAAGAACUAAUUCGAGGUAAUUCCAAUAGACUUGGAAGGGCAGUUAUGAUACAGAUGGUUGUGUGUUAACAAACUAGCCCUCUGGAAAAAAUACAGCAACUUUCAAUGACAGAUGCUCUUUCACGUUGGUUGUACUAUGCAGAGAUAAGCUCACACCAUGUUUUGCUCCCCAUUUUACCCUAUAAUCUAGGGGAUGUUAAAGCUACAGUUCACCAUAUAAACCUGAUUAAUUGAAGAAAAUAUAGCUUCUUAUUGCUGACUUUAUGAGGUUAGAAAUAGCAUCCAGUGCUACUCUGUGAUGCCAAGAAAUGAAGAUGGCUUAAAUCAGAUCUCAUGACUAAUGCAUGAAAUCCAAAGUUCUUUUAUUCCCGGCUAUUUUAGAAAACUGGGAUGUAUUUUUACCCUAAAAACUAAUUCUAUAGAUUUAUUGAGAUAAUACAAAAUGCCUUAUUAUUAACAGCACACAAUCAAGAUUUCAUCUUACUGAUGAUCAGAAAAACGUUUCUCCAUUUUAAUUUUUCAAAAAAUUAUGCAACGGGUUAAGUCCAGAUUCAAGGAUAUUAUUAUAUUUGAUUCUUCAUUGUUGUGUUUUUAGAUAGUCAAUGUCUGGAAAGAUGAUGGAAAGUUUAGAUUGCUUUCUGUGGUUGCCAUUUCAUUUUAAUUGUACUUGUGAAUUCAUUUAAAUGGAAAGAAAUAGAUCUAGUAAUAAAGUAAGCCUGUUCUUUUUGCUUGUUUUUGUUUUGGUCAUGACAAACUGAAAUGCCGUGGUUUUCCUAUAGUUCUAGUCCAUGAAAUCUGCAAUCUUUCCACUUGAUUUACGAAGGACCCUUAAUUACUCCUGUCAUUAGCACCUAGUGUUCAAAACAGUCUGUUAAAAUGUACUGUUAGUCUCACCUCC